rnacentral:tRNA from 1 species
GUCCUCGUAGCUCAGCUGGAUAGAGCAUACGCCUUCUAAGCGUACGGUCGCAGGUUCGAAUCCUGCCGGGGACACCA